UGGCCUGAAGCUCAACUGGUGAGAGCGUCGAUCUUAUAAGUCGAAGGAAGUGGGUUCAAGUCCCACCGGGCCGA
rnacentral:tRNA from 1 species